AUUGAACGCUAGCGGGAUGCUUUACACAUGCAAGUCGAACGAUUGGCGGACGGGUGAGUAAUGUCUGGGAAACUGCCUGAUGGAGGGGGCUAACUACUGGAAACGGUAGCUAAUACCGCAUACCAUCGGAUGUGCCCAGCGGGGAUUAGCUAGUCGGUGGGGUAAAGGCGCCCCGAGGCGACGAUCCCUAGCUGGUCUGAGAGGAUGACCAGCAACACUGGAACUGAGACACGGUCCAGACGCCUACGGGAGGCAGCAGUGGGGAAUAUUGCACAAUGGGCGCAAGCCUGAUGCAGCCAUGCCGCGUGUAUGAAGAAGGCCUUCGGGUUGUAAAGUACUUUCAGCGGGGAGGCGUUACCCGCAGAAGAAGCACCGGCUAACUCCGUGCCAGCAGCCGCGGUAAUAC
rnacentral:rRNA from 1 species